GACGGAGGGGGCUAGCGUUGUUCGGAAUGACUGGGCGUAAAGGGUGCGUAGGCGGUUUUUUAAGUAAGGUGUGAAAGCCCUGGGCUUAACCCAGGAACUGCGCUUUAAACUGGAGAACUGGAGUGUGAGAGAGGAAGGUGGAAUUCCUAGUGUAGGGGUGAAAUCCGUAGAGAUUGGGAAGAAUAUCAGAGGCGAAGGCGGCCUUCUGGAUCACAACUGACGCUGAGGCACGAAAGCGUGGGGAGCAAACAGG
rnacentral:rRNA from 1 species